UACGGAGGGUGCGAGCGUUGUCCGGAGUCAUUGGGCGUAAAGGGUGCGUAGGCGGCCUGUUAAGUCAGGGGUGAAAGACGGUAGCUCAACUAUCGCAGUGCCCUUGAUACUGAUGGGCUUGAAUUGACUAGAGGUAGGCGGAAUGUGACAAGUAGCGGUGAAAUGCAUAGAUAUGUCACAGAACACCGAUUGCGAAGGCAGCUUACUAUGGUCUUAUUGACGCUGAGGCACGAAAGCGUGGGGAUCAAACAGG
rnacentral:rRNA from 1 species